GAUGAACGCUGGCGGCGUGCCUAAUACUUGCAAGUCGAGCGAACAGAUGAGGAGCUUGCUCCUCUGACGUUAGCGGCGGACGGGUGAGUAACACGUGGAUAACCUACCUAUAAGACUGGGAUAACUUCGGGAAACCGGAGCUAAUACCGGAUAAUAUAUUGAACCGCAUGGUUCAAUAGUGAAAGACGGUUUUGCUGUCACUUAUAGAUGGAUCCGCGCCGCAUUAGCUAGUUGGUAAGGUAACGGCUUACCAAGGCAACGAUGCGUAGCCGACCUGAGAGGGUGAUCGGCCACACUGGAACUGAGACACGGUCCAGACUCCUACGGGAGGCAGCAGUAGGGAAUCUUCCGCAAUGGGCGAAAGCCUGACGGAGCAACGCCGCGUGAGUGAUGAAGGUCUUCGGAUUGUAAAACUCUGUUAUUAGGGAAGAACAAAUGUGUAAGUAACUAUGCACGUCUUGACGGUACCUAAUCAGAAAGCCACGGCUAACUACGUG
rnacentral:rRNA from 1 species